UACGUAGGGGGCAAGCGUUGUCCGGAUUUAUUGGGCGUAAAGAGCGUGUAGGCGGCCUGACAGGUCUGCUGUGAAAACUCGAGGCUCAACCUCGAGAUGUCGGCGGAAACCGUCUAGCUAGAGUCCGGAAGAGGAGAGUGGAAUUCCUGGUGUAGCGGUGAAAUGCGCAGAUAUCAGGAAGAACACCUAUGGCGAAGGCAGCUCUCUGGGACGGUACUGACGCUGAGACGCGAAAGCGUGGGGAGCGAACAGG
rnacentral:rRNA from 1 species